CUGAUAGCCAUCGUUCGCCCUAAGAAGCUCGGCCCCGGCGAAACGGAAUCGUACUGGAGCCGUAAAGGGUAUUACGCCCUCAACUGCAUGGUCGUGUGUGAUGCAAAGCUGAAUAUCCUGGCAAUUGACCCACGGUUUCCGGGAUCGUGCCACGAUUAUUUCGUUUGGAGGCAUUCUGCAUUUCGCCGCCGCCUCACUCGUGGCCUGUUACUUCAUGGAGAAGUCUUGCUUGGGGACUCUGGGUACCCGCUAGAGCCAUGGAUCAUGACUCCUGUGCCUGGUCACCCAAAUCGCCUCACGGCAGAGGGGCGCUAUAAUGAGGCACACGCAUCAAUGCGAAAUGC
rnacentral:lncRNA from 1 species